rnacentral:rRNA from 1 species
UACGAAGGGGGCUAGCGUUGCUCGGAAUCACUGGGCGUAAAGGGUGCGUAGGCGGGUCUUUAAGUCAAAGGUGAAAUCCUGGAGCUCAACUCCAGAACUGCCUUUGAUACUGAAGAUCUUGAGUUCGGGAGAGGUGAGUGGAACUGCGAGUGUAGAGGUGAAAUUCGUAGAUAUUCGCAAGAACACCAGUGGCGAAGGCGGCUCACUGGCCCGAUACUGACGCUGAGGCACGAAAGCGUGGGGAGCAAACAGG